rnacentral:rRNA from 1 species
AUUGAACGCUGGCGGCAGGCCUAACACAUGCAAGUCGAGCGCGCGGCGGACGGGUGAGUAAUGUCUGGGAAACUGCCUGAUGGAGGGGGAUAACUCCUGGAAACGGUAGCUCAUACCGCAUACCAUCAGAUGUGCCCCGAGGGGAUGAGCUCGUAGGUGGGGUAAUGGCUCACCUAGGCGACGAUCCCUAGCGGGUCUGAGAGGAUGACCAGCCACACUGGAACUGAGACACGGUCCAGACUCCUACGGGAGGCAGCAGUGGGGAAUAUUGCACAAUGGGCGCAAGCCUGAUGCAGCCAUGCCGCGUGUGUGAAGAAGGCCUUCGGGUUGUAAAGCACUUUCAGCGGGGAGGCGUUACCCGCAGAAGAAGCACCGGCUAACUCCGUGCCAGCAGCCGCGGUAAUAC